CUUCGAGGCCUUGCACAAUCUGGAACCCCGUGGCUAUGUUGUGGGGUGGAUCAUCGCCAUCAGUUUGCUGGUGGGGAUCCUCAUUUUUCUGCUGCUGGCUGUGCUACUGUGGAAGAUGGGCUUCUUCCGCAGAAGGUACAAAGAAAUCAUUGAAGCUGAGAAAAACCGGAAAGAGAAUGAAGAUGGUUGGGACUGGGUCCAGAAAAACCAGUGACCCACUCUGCCAGUCAUAUGAUGCCCUCACAUCCCCAUCACCAGCCUGUGGUCCUUGAUCUUUGUAUCUUCCAUAUUUGGAAGAAAGAAAUCUUCUCCAGAUUUUUCGGAGGCCCCACUGACGACGCUAUUCUCUUUCUCAUCCUGUCAAGCCCGGUUCCGACCUGAGAUGGCCACCUCCAGCCAGGUCACAUGACUGGGGCCACCACCACUCCCCUUCACAAGAUGAACUCAGAACUUUGGAAAGACGAGCUAUAGAGCAAAGCAAUAUUUAUGGAUGCAACAUUGUGUGGUCAACCCUCAGGGGAAAACUGUUACCUAAAAGUAUUUUUUAUAAAUGUAAGCCUUUUAUAUUGAUCAUGUCUUUAUAUUUGUAUCAAUGUUUUAUUAUUUCUAUUAAAUAGUUCUAUAAUUCACUCAAGCACUGAAAUCUUGGAAAUACAUGUACCUGCAUACAAAUUUUAAAGAGAAGGAACUUAUUCUACUUUGGAACUUGUUGUUAGGGAAGAGAAAAAAAAUCUUGCAGAUAAAACAAACUGAAGAAACCUCAUGAAAUGAAUCCACCAAGCUGGGCACACUGCAAAAGCACCAAGGAUAUGACUAGACCACCUAAGACAUUUAUUCCCCAUUGUUACCACCUGAAGUCAAGUUCAGAGAGCUUGAAGCAUCGGUGUUUUCUCUUCUGGACCUCUCACUGGGAGAUUCUCAGCAGGAACCAGGGCGGAAAGCUUGGUUUCCUCCCAGCAGAUGCUCUAUGCCGCCCUGAUGCAUGUGGUAGGCACUGUACCCUCCUCUGGAGCCAGCAAGUGCUGGAUGGACAACUGGUCAACCUCAGAAUAGCAUCUCAUCCUAGACAACAUACACCAGAGUUCAGAGCCCAGGACUGAAGCUGUGCUCUCAGCAAAAACCUGUGUCUCUGUGUGUAAGCUGUUACCUUGUGGUAUAAUGUUAGCACAAGGCUCUCUGUUUCCUCUGUCACUCUUGCUGUCCCCAACUGGUGGUGCUGCAGAUAUCUUCCCAGAGAGGAUCACCCGACACGGUUUGUGUUUAUGUCUUAGGUGGAAUUCUCAAGAGUCAAACCCUGAAAUGGGACUUGGGUGCAAAUAACUUAUUGAGGAAGUCUUCUGAGAAGGUAGCAGUGAGGAAUUUCAGAAUACAAGACAGGAGAGUACGGGGAGCCAGGCAACAGUGUCCCUUCAGGGCACAGCCCAUGAGAUGGCUUCAGACCAGUUAGAUCCAGUGGGCUAGUCAGGCUCAGGAACCUGGACUUUUGUGAUUCCCACACCUGCAGGUGAUAUAAACUUUCUGCCCUUAGUUCUUGCUGACAAUAUGACUCUGUCCUCUAGAGGAGAACUUUGGGGGCACCCUCAAGUAAGGAGAUCCAGAAAUCAUGCUUAGAACUCUGAGCCAAGAGCUUUGGCGCCCCCUUCCCCCCACAAAGUGAAUGCUACCUUCAGCUUUGUGUAAUCAAAAAAGCCAUGAGUCUAAGCUGGUCCUAGAAGUCAAAUGUUGCAUCUGACCGUGGAAUAGAGACAGUGGUCACUACAUGGAAUGGACAGCCCAGGAAACUAGUUAGUGCACACCCAGUUCUUAAGUUUUAUCAAAAGAAAUAAGGAAAGAAGUCUUGGCUUUACCAGCCAUGUGCAUCUUGGUCUGUGGGUGAGGCACUGUGCUGGAUGUUGGUGGAUCCCCUGAGAACACAGUCACCUCGUGUCUAAGGGUGGUAAGCCCUCCCACAAUAGGUAUGGAGUGUAGAUUCUUUAUGAACCCCAUUUGCAGCUGUCUAUGACGAUCGUUGAAUUGUGUCGUGGUUUCCUUUACUAAAUCAUUUGAGAGUCAGCUGGUGAGACCACUACAGAACCGUCUGCAGUUAUAGCCAAAAUGCUUCUGUCCCCACUGGCUUACUUCCUGCAAAGGGCUUGGCUGCACCGGUGGAGACCGAUGACUCAUGUACACACCUCAGCUAGCCAGCAGAGCCACACCUGAGAAAGCAUGGAAGGCAGGAAGAGCAGACUCAGCUGCAGUCUGGCCACUUGCACCUGAUCUCAAAUGGUGAAACCUCACGAAUAGUCAUGUGCUCAGAAGGUCACUACAACUUCAGGAGGCAGAUUUUAAGAAAACUGUAAUGGUAUCUCUGAAAGCAAAUCCUAAAAAGCAUUGUAGGGGAGAGGAGGCCUCUCUGCUUAUGCUGAGUGCUAGAGUGUGGCUCCAGGCACAGAGGCAGGGAAUCAGGUGGAGCAUUGUCUUGGAAUUCUUUCAGCUGGGUAGUUCAGCAUCUCCAUGCCAGUCUUCUGCAGGCAGUGGGCAGGUGGGUUGAUGUGCCUGUGUUACCUCUUUCUAGGACAUUCUUUUUUAAAAGCCCACUGCGUAGCCCGUUGCAUCCUUCCGCUGCCUCUGAGUUCAUUCUGCAGACAUUCUCCAGGGAGCUAUCAUUUGUUUGCUUCUCUUUUUUAGUUGUGUCUUCUGUGGUUUUAACCAGCUCAAGAAAGUCUAGAGCAUCCCCAAAGUGUGCCCUACCACAAAGAGGCUAUGAAAUGUAAACAGAACACCAGCAGGAGGGACCUGGGAGCUGGUCAAUUGACCAGAGCACACCCUGUGUCCCCCGUCACUGACUCAGGCAAUGCUUUGGGAAAGCACCUCGGGGCUCAGCAGUCUGGCAGGUUGCAUGAAGUCAUCUGUCCUAGUCCCCCCUCCAUCCAUCCUUUGGCGUCCCCACCACCCACCACCCUACCCUCACCCCCACACACCAAGUAUCACAUGCCCUACUUCUCUAAAUCCAAAGGCAAGGGAAUUCUCAACAAACAGCGUACUGUUGAGACACCUCAGUGACCAGUGACCCCUGUUGUGUGCUACCUGUUGAGCCCCAGUAUGGUGAGUGUAGAAAUGUUAUCCACAUUUAUUUAAGGAUGAGACAGCUUUAUACCCAAUUACCUGAGAAGCAUAAACCUAGGAAAGGAAUGCGUAAUGUCAACUUCCUGAAAUUUAGAAGUACUACAAAGCAUUGUCAUGUGAUGGGUGGAAUAGGACACAGCUUGCCCGACACACAGGAAGCAAUGGGUUCAUUCUCUGAUAACCCUGCCCCCAAAUAUCAUGUGGGGAAACUGUCCCCUUGAUAAACAAAAGGCAGAAACCAAAUAUUCUCAGAAUGAUUUAACAGUUCCUCGAGAACAUAGAAUUUUAAUAGAUGUGGGUUUUGGUUCUGGAGUCUUAUAUUCUAAGAUACUGACUGAAGGGAGGCUGCAGGGCCCCUGGGGCCCAGUGAACCUUCUAGAACCGGCAGAGUGAUGAGUAAAUCCCCCCACCCCUGGUGUGGUGCUCUCUACAGCUGAUCUGCAUUUCAAUCUGUUACAGUGUUUGGUUUGCUUUGUUUGACCCCAGUGUGCACAGUGUGAUUGUGCACAGUGUGAUUGGCGGUGUGAGUUUAAGCUUCCUGAGUGGUUUGUUGCAUGACGUGCACCUCUGCUCUCUGCAUGCCUGCAGCUUUACUGAGACUCAAGUGUGCACACGCGCGCGCACACACACACACACACACACACACACACACACACUGCCCGAGAGGAUUUGGAGUAGGAAGGCUGUCUUUCCUCACUGUGUCUUGUGAAUUCAUGUCCAUUUCUGCGGUCACUUCUGAAUCACUUGCACUGUUUGGGAGAUGCCAGGUUUACAAAAAUAAGUGUUUGGAAUAAAACAAAAUAUGGCUUCAAAUGA